UUGAUUGGAUCAGUGAUUUAAAUGUUGCCUAACUGUGCACUAAACUUAUACAUAGGCUCUAGCUGCCCAUGGGCUGCCUAUCCAGGUCCAGUAAUAACCGUCACCUCGAAUUAUUCUUUGAGCUCACUUAUUACUCUUCUAUUAAUAUUUCAAGAACAUAUUAUCUUUACUCAUUGCCUUGUUUUUCUAGACUGAUUUUAUUGGGCUCAGAAAUAUGUUGACAUUAUGCUGAGAAUGAGGGAAUGGAUGAGGAGGAUGUAUGUAGCUUGGAGCUGGAACUGAAAAAGGCUUAACCACUCCCUGGGUCUCAGUCUGUCUCUUGGCAGGACUGUUAGCCGCCUCUGCCUGUGGCUGCUCACUUACUAGGAUUCACUUCCUGUCAGCUGGUAUAGACGUCCUGCAUAAGGUCUCUCUUGAUCUAUGUUGGUUGAAAGAACUGAUUGCAGCAGGAGAUGAACCUCGGGUUCAGGAGAGAUACCCAGGAAGGAAAAGGCAUUACGUUGGACCAGGCUGAUAGCCACAGAGAAGAGCACUGGGCCAGACUUAAGGUGGCCAACAUUCUUUUUAGAAUAGAGCUCUAAUUUUAAAAUGGAAGACAGCAGGAUGAUAAGAUGUAACACAGAGGAUCUUGCUUUUAAAGAAAGUAGUUUUCAGAAAGAACUUGCUUUGUGAUGGAAAAGACCAAUUUAAACAUAAAUAAAAAUAUUUUCAAAGAUAUAUUUAUGACUCCAGGAAAGGCAAAACAACCCAAAGUUCAACUUCACUGAUGAUCAAGCCUCGUUGAUUAUGACCAGAAUACAGACAUGAUGUCUGGAGAUUCAGGAGCCUUGGCGGCAAAACAUUCAUUCUAAGAACGAAGGAGCAAGAUGUAGAAGCCUUGAUUGUUGCUGAUAUACACAUGCAGCUGAAGCAUCUUAGAAUUGUUUACCAUUGAAUUUCUGGUUACCUGAAAAAAAAAAAAAAGACCUAUACAUUAUUUGAGUUUUUUGUUACUUGCAGCCAAACACUUUUCUAACCCCAGGGUUCAAGUCAGACUUUUGUUAACAAAACUGGUCAUAUAGAAGCGUCUAUUUUCAAAGAAUAUGUCUAUGAAACCUCUCUGUAAGACUUGGGAGAGUAUGGGAAGACCUUGGGAGAGUGUCUGGAAUAGAAGGAGCCCUCGGGAUCCGCACCGUCAUUCUAAAACAAAAACUCACCUCUAGCAUUUAGCACUUAGCUGCUUUUCAGCUGCUGGUCCCACGUGAAGGGGCCUCGAACUUAGUGCGUGGUGAAUAGGCUUCUCUCGCUGAUCACACAAGCAGCUCACCUGUAAGUCCUAAUGACCUCAGCGCCAAAGGCUCAUCCCAUUUAGAAGGAAUUUUUUUGUUUGCAGUUUAAAUGAUAUAAAUACUCAGUGAACUGUAGACACCUCCUACUGCUUCUGGUUUUCAUCUCGAAAAAGCAAGAGACUGUGUCCCAUACGGCAGAAUUAGAAGCUCAUUUGUGUGAAAGGAGAAGCUCGCUCUUCAAAGUUGGCUAUUAUUAACUGUCGUUUUAUUAUUGAACCCUGGGCUUUCCUCGUGGCUUAGUGGUGAAGAAUCCGCAUGCUGUGCA